GGGGAAUAUUGGACAAUGGGGGCAACCCUGAUCCAGCAAUGCCGCGUGUGUGAAGAAGGCCUGCGGGUUGUAAAGCACUUUCAGUAGGGAAGAAAAGCCUGGGGCUAAUACCUCCGGGUCUUGACGUUACCUAAAGAAGAAGCACCGGCUAACUCCGUGCCAGCAGCCGCGGUAGUACGGAGGGUGCGAGCGUUAAUCGGAAUUACUGGGCGUAAAGCGCACGUAGGCGGUCUGGUAAGUCGGAUGUGAAAGCCCCGGGCUUAACCUGGGAAUUGCAUUCGAUACUGCCUGACUGGAGUAUGGGAGAGGGAAGCGGAAUUUCCGGUGUAGCGGUGAAAUGCGUAGAUAUCGGAAGGAACAUCAAUGACGAAGGCAGCUUCCUGGCCCAAUACUGACGCUGAGGUGCGAAAGCGUGGGGAUCAAACA
rnacentral:rRNA from 1 species